rnacentral:rRNA from 1 species
UACGGGGGGGGCAAGCGUUGUUCGGAAUUACUGGGCGUAAAGGGCUCGUAGGUGGUCAACUAAGUCGGACGUGAAAUCCCUCGGCUUAACCGGGGAACUGCGUCUGAUACUGGAUGGCUUGAGUUUGGGAGAGGGAUGCGGAAUUCCAGGUGUAGCGGUGAAAUGCGUAGAUAUCUGGAGGAACACCGAUGGCGAAGGCAGCCCCCUGGGCCAACACUGACGCUCAGGCACGAAAGCGUGGGGAGCAAACAGG